rnacentral:misc_RNA from 1 species
GUGAUAUCUUUACAUUUGGCCUCAUCGUUUACUAGGCCCACUUUUACGGAGACCCCGUAGAUUGUCAUGCACAAAGUAAGGAGCCAGUUAGGGAAACUUCAAAAUCUUACAGGUGAAGGUGUAAGCAGCAGUCUCUCCCAGGGUGAUUUAGAGGAAAAUGGUCUUCAGGGAAUACAACUGCGCAGUUAUCAACUGGAGGGAGUGCGAUGGAUGAAGCGUUCUUUGGAAAAUGGACAAGGAUGCAUUCUUGCAGAUGAAAUGGGUCUUGGCAAAACUAUACAGACUAUUGCUCUUUUGAUCUAUCUUCAAGGGGUAAACAAUUGCCCAGGGCCAUUUCUCAUAGUGUGUCCAUUAUCUGUUUUGCAAAACUGGCAAAAUGAAUUCUCAAGAUUUUCUAAGCAUCAAGUUGUACUGAGCUUCAUUGGUGAUAAAGAUGAGCGAGAAGAAAUAAAGAAUUCAGUCAGAAUUGUGUUCAAAUCUCAGAAUGCUGUCCAUAGAAAUGAGUCUCUUUCCUUUCAUGUCCUUCUUACCACAUAUGAAAUGUGUUUACGGGAAACAACUUUCCUUUCAAAAUUCCACUGGAAAGCAAUGAUAGUGGAUGAGGCUCAUAGAUUGAAGAAUUCCAGGUCUUCUCUUUAUCAAGAAUUGUCUCAGUUUGAAAAAGACUUUGUGGUAUUGCUCACAGGAACACCAGUACAGAACAACUUGAAUGAACUGUAUUCCUUGCUCUCAUUUGUGAGCCCUGACAUCUUCACCCUUGAUGCUGUAGAGGAAUUUGUGGAGCAGUUCACAAAUGUUGACAACUCAGACACAAGUACAGAGUUACAGAAUAUUUUAUCUCCAUUUUUGUUACGUCGAGUUAAGUCCGAGGUGAUGGUACAUUUACCAAGAAAGACUGAGGUCCUCCUUUACACUGGUAUGACCGAUUUACAGAAAAGAUAUUACAAGGCAAUACUUCUGAAAGAUUUGGAUGCCUUUAAUUCUGCAAGUGGUUUCAUGAAGACAAGACUUAUGAAUAUUCUAAUACAGCUCAGAAAAUGUAUCAAUCAUCCAUAUUUAUUUGAUGGAGUGGAACCUGAGCCAUUUGAACUUGGGGAACACCUUGUUGAUGCAAGCGGGAAACUUCGAAUUAUUGACCAGUUGUUAAUUUUCCUUAAAGCAAGGGGACACAAAGUUUUAAUGUUCUCACAAAUGACAAGAAUGUUAGACAUCAUUCAGGACUACCUUGGUUACAGAGGAUAUUCCUAUGAACGACUGGAUGGUUCUGUCCGUGGAGAGGAACGCUAUCUUGCCAUUCAAAACUUUAACGAAACAGAAGACACUUUUAUAUUUCUUUUGAGCACGAGAGCGGGUGGCCAAGGCUUGAAUCUGAUGUCUGCAGACACUGUGAUAUUUGUAGACAGUGACUUCAAUCCCCAGAAUGAUUUGCAAGCGGCGGCAAGAGCGCACCGUAUUGGGCAAACAAGGCCUGUAAAAGUUAUUCGACUUGUUGCGAGAAGUACAGUAGAAGAAAUCGUGUUGAAAAGGGCUGACGACAAGCUAAAGCUAACAAAUUCAGUUAUUGAAGGGGGAAAGUUUUCAGGUAACGCCUCAGCUUUAAACCAAAUUGCCGAGACUCCAACACAGCUGGCAGACUUACUCAAGUACGGCUUGGACAAGUUAUUUGACUCAGAUGAAAGGACCCUUACAGAGGAAGACUUGGAAAAGAUUCUAGGAGAAAGUUUUAACAAUGAGUGGACUGUGGGAGAAACGAGAAACCAGAGUAAUUUGAAUAAAGACGUCAUAGUUUCGUGUAUGGAAACAGAUGAUGGUGAGAAAGCAGUAAGUGACAUGUACGUGUAUGAAGGUCAUGACUACAGAGAAACAACUGUGAAAGAUCAAGAGGCAUUCGACAACAUGAUGGCUGACAUGUUAGAGGAAUCCCAAACAGAAGAACGACUACUCCGAAGCGAGAGAAAGGGAUCCGUAGCCCAUUUCGUUGACCUUCCCAUGAGAAAGCGCAAAAUUCUCUCGCCAGAGGAGUUAGAGGAGCGAAAGAAAAAGAGGGAAGAAAAUGCUGCAAAAAGAGCAAAGCUAAAGGAGGAAGAGGAGUCUAGGAAGGAAAGGGACAGACAAACAAAAUUGGAAAAGUUAUGGAAGGACGCCGAUUACUCAACCCUUAAUAUUGCGAAUGGUGAAGAAGAAGACGAAGAUGAAACUAAAGAUUCAUUUGACGAAGAAGACGAACGUGAGCAAAAAGAUAUUCGAUACGUACGUGGUGACGUCACACAUCCCAUCAAAAUAUGCGGUUCCGAUGCCAUCAUAAUACACUGUGUUGACGACUCUGGGAGGUGGGGUCAGGGAGGACUAUUUUCCGCGUUAUCUCGAAGAUCAACUCGACCAGAAACUCAGUACGAGCUAGCCAAUAGAAUGAAAGAUCUGAAGUUAGGAGAUGCACAUCUUGUCCCUCUUGACGAUCGACGAAACCCAAAGGAUGGUCAUGAAUAUGUGGCCUUGAUUGUGGCUCAGUCACGUGACAGGCAAAACAGACUCUCUGGGAUAAAAUUGACGUCAUUAAGUCUGGGCUUGAAGAGGAUAGCAUUGGCGGCAAAGAAAAUGAAAGCUACUAUUCACCUUCCACGAAUUGGUUACAAUACACCUAGUUUUAACUGGUAUGGCACGGAGAGACUGUUACGGAAGCACCUUGUCUGCAAAGGAAUUCAGACAUCAGUAUAUUAUUUUGAUAGACAAUCAGCUACAAAUAACUCAAAAACUCUGACAUCAUUAAACGCAGAUUCUCUGAAAAAAAGAAGUUACAAGGCGAAAGACAAGCGGGAAACAUCCAAGGAUGAUGAAUCCUCUCAUGGUGAACAUCGAAAGAGUACAAAGCAUUCACUACCUGACUUCAUUAAACAAAAGCAGGUUAACUCUUACGCGCCUAGUAGCCAGGUACUGCCGGAGCUUAUCCCGCUUCUGACUUGAAGUCACCAGUUCUGCAGAGCAGUAUUGUUUUGUACUCCUUUAACCCGUUUCUCGAAAGACCCCGCACUCCUCUCAAGAAUUAAACGAUGAUGUUAAGGUUGUCAGUUCAAAAUGGCUAGAGAGCUGCUUUAGAAAAAGAAGAAUCCAGG